ACGCUCGACACCUACGGGAGACAGCAGUAGGGAAUCUUCCACAAUGGACGCAAGUCUGAUGGAGCAACGCCGCGUGAGUGAAGAAGGUCUUCGGAUCGUAAAACUCUGUUGUUAGAGAAGAACACGAGUGAGAGUAACUGUUCAUUCGAUGACGGUAUCUAACCAGCAAGUCACGGCUAACUACGUACCAGCAGCCGCGGUAAUCUGAGCGGGCUGGCAAGGC
rnacentral:rRNA from 1 species